UAACAUCGGAACCUUAUUUUAAUUGAUUCUGGGGGUUCAUAGGCGGGUGUUUCGGUUUGCACUCAAACGUGACAACGAUAACAUAAAUACUGUUGCGCCAAUGUUAUUGAUGAACAAAAAUGAGCACGAAGCAAGUCACCUGCAGGUAUUUUCUCCAUGGUGUCUGCCGAGAGGGGAAUAGGUGCAUGUUUUCUCAUGACCUGACCACCAGUAAACCUUCAACCAUCUGUAAGUUCUACCAGAGAGGUGUGUGUGCCUACGGAGACCGCUGCAGGUAUGACCACAUCAAGCCAUCUGGUGGUAGUGGUGGUGGUGGAGGAGGAGGGAGAGGUGUGCCCAUGGACCUCCCUAACAGAAACCCCAUCUCUGCUGGGGUCUUCAUCCCCCCUGGGGUGCCUGGACCUCUCGCCCCCACUGCACCCCAAGCCAGGCAUCAGGGGGGGAAGAAACCGCUGGUGCUGAGAGAUCGAGGUAUGCAAGGUGGAAUCUCACUGACCACAUUUACAUGCACACCAGUAUCCCAUUAUUAUUCUGUUUUUGAGUUGACGCUAGGACUGGGCGAUAUAUCAAAUUAAUUGGAUUCAUUUAAAUGUAUGUUUUUGCGUGAUAUUCGAAAUGCCUGUACCAAGAAUCAAGGUUUUGUUAUUUUUCACUUUUAUGAACGUUUGUCCUCUUGUUCUCAUGUUGUCUUUUUGGUCUUGUCUCGUUCGCUCCUUCUGUGCUGUGCAUCUUCCCAUUUACACCAGAGAUCUGUAUAUAAUGACGAGACGUCCUAACAAUGGGAGUCGUCUCAAAGGUAGGAAGGCAGGCGACAAGCUUAAGGACAAAAUAAGCCCAUAGAACAGCUUUGGCCUUAUUUUGGACAGAUUUUUAUCAAGAGUGAAACCUCUCUCUUUGCACCUUCCUCUAUGGUUUACACACCACACCAAGCCCCUCCCCUUCCUCUCACGCCAACAACGUUGAGAGGUCACAUCUUCCCUUCUGACAAAGCGGUUUCAAUUCGCUAGUUGCAUUUGAGGUUUGGUCCAACAGAAUCAGCCAUAUCAGUCAACUUCUCCUCUAGUACAGUAAAAUGAACUUUUCUACCCUUUUGUCUCAACUACUCAAAAUGCACACAGAGCAGACACUCUUGUUUAUUAGUAUCAAUGAACAUUGAUUAUUGAAAAUGAAUGCUCAGUUUGUC